rnacentral:rRNA from 1 species
UGGUUGACCUCGGAUCAGGUAGGGAUACCCGCUGAACUUAAGCAUAUCAAAACCG